GUAAAGCAGUGAGGAUGAGAAGGAAGUCAGUGCCCUGCACUCACAGGCGAAGUAUUAACACAGGUCUUUGGAAUAACUGGAAAAACGAGCUAAAAAUCAAAAAGACUCAACGAAAGCAGUACCAAAACCACAUCAUAUCUUGAAUGGUGCUUUUACAGCUUUCAAAGUCCUCAACUCUGUGUUCUUCAAAGAUGCCCCUCAUCACUUCCCAUUAUCAUCAUCUCUUUUUUCAGGAACAGAAGGUCUUACCUUAAAUACCACCUCCUCAUGGACAGAUUUCUUGAUGGCCUUACCUAGUAGCUUAAGAAGGACAAGCUGAUUUUCAUUGCUG